ACUAUGUCAGAAGACGAGGGAGGUGCUCCGGCAAGCUGUGAUCAAAUCAGAAGGCAAGGCAGAGUCUUACUGAAGGGUUUAGAACAGUGACUUGGCGUAGAAGGUGACUCAUGCCUUUCUCAACUCUCAGAUGACACAGAAAGAAAGAUGUUCACGCAUAUAAAAGGCCUGACUCUGAAGAACAGCGUGUCCCCCUUUGGUUCCAUGCUCUGUCUCAUGGCCCCAAGGGUAGGUCUGCCGAGGACAACAGGCACAUGCCACUGGAUACUGGACUGCAGCUGGUAUGUUUCCACACUUUCCACUCCAGGAACCCUUCCGGCAGCUCUGAUGGAUCAGCUGGACUUUAGGGUAUGCUAGGGCCCUCUACAGGGCAAACGCUGAGCCAACUGCAGCUUUCCCAUCUAUGCUGUUCUGCUGGGAAUUUACACCAGAGCCAGCCAGCCACAGGCAGAGAGGCCUGAAUGAGGAGGAGAAGUGGAUGGAAGCAGCCUGGAGCUUGUGAGUUAGGGUAGGAGGUCUUCAGGUGGAACAGAGUGACUGACGAAGCAGCAGAUUACACAGGAGCCAGGAAACAGGAACAAAGAUCCUUUGGGAGCCUUCCCGACUCUGCAUUCUCUUCUGGGCUAAUAGUCUCCAGAGGAGUCUCCACUGCACCACCGGAAAUUUUCUGAAGUCAGACCUCCAUAAAUACACCAUCUGUGUGGUGAUAUCUUGCUUGUACAAAUAAAGCCUGUCUGAAGAUCAGAGGAUGGAGCUUGUCACUAACUAACCAUAGAGGUCUGGAGGUCUGUACAGACAGACAGGAAGUGAGGUGGCUGGGUGCAGAGAGGAUAUAAGUGGGACGAAACAGGAACUCGCUCUCUUGUCUGUGGAGAUGCUAAGAAGCUAAGGCGUGGCUGUGGCUUGCUCCUUCUUCUCUCUGAUUUCUCAGCAUUUUCCUCUAUAUCUGACUCUGGAUUUUUAUUAUUUAGACCAAUUAAGAACUCCAUUUACACAUCUAUAAUAGUUAUUAUUAAUUGUCAACCUGACAAAAUCUAGAAUCACUUAUCCCCUCUGGGCAUAUCAGCAGAGGUUAUCUUGAUUGAUGGAAUUGAGGUAGGAAGAUACCCCCUCGUCCCCACACCCCCCAUCCCCUCACCCUCUCACCCUCUCACCCCUUAAUCCCUCCCACUCUCUCACCCUUUCACCCUCUCAUUCCCUCACCCCCACCCCAGUGGAUGAGACUACUCCCUGGCUGGCUGGGAUCCUGAACAGUGUAGUGGAGAAAGGGAGCCUAGAGCAACAUGAAUCUACUGUUCUCUGUUCCUGAUUAGAGGUGGGCCAGCCCUUCAGGUGCCCGCUGCCUUGACUUCCCUGCCAUGAUGGGCGUGAUCAAUAAAUACCAUAUAAACCCUUUGUCCCUUAAGUUGCUUGUGUCAGAUUAUUUUAUCACUGUAAGAGGAAAAGAACCUAAGACACAGGAGGCGAUCAGUGUUUCCAUGCUAUCUGGAGGACUGCUGGGAGAGGCGAUCACUGCCCGAGUCUGAAUAGAUGGACACUUCCGUGUACAAAGGCAUCCAGACCCCAGGGUCUCAGGCUUCGUGGUCAGUCACAUCUGUUUCAAGCACAUCACUCCAGGCUCUCUGGAAGGCUGUUCCCCUCUCAGUCUGGUUUGUGGGUCAAGAUGUGAGUUAUCAGCUGCUGCUCCAGUGCAUGCCUGCCUGCCUGCCUGCCUGCCUGCAAUCCAUCUGAUGGAGAUGACCUGCAGCUGCUCCAGCGCAUGCCUGCCUGCCUGCCUGCAAUCCAUCUGAUGGAGAUGCAACUGCAGCUGCUCCAGCGCAUGCCUGCCUGCCUGCAGUCCAUCUGAUGGAGACAGACUCAGCCCUCUGGCACUGUUAGCCACAAAUAAACCCUUUCUUCUAUAAGU